rnacentral:rRNA from 1 species
GAGUUGACGUAGUCGGCUAACUAAGUUUGCCAAAGUCGCUUAAUUGUGGCAGCGGCAGAUGUAUGUUGCCUAUGGCUGCGCUGACAGCGCUGGCUAUGCGUUCCGAACCGUUUGCGUUGCCCACUUCGGUGGUGUCUUGUCUGCGGGUAGGUUUGUCGUAGCUAGUGUUUUAUCCUGCUUGCAGGGUGUCAGUGUGAAAGUCGACCACCUCUCCGACCCGUCUUGAAACACGGACCGAGGAGUGUAACUUGUACGCGAGUCAAAGGGUGGAAAACCCCAAGGCGAAAUGAAAGUAAAGGUCGGUUAACUGGCUGACAUGGGAUUCGCCUUUUGAGGUGACGCACCAUGGCCCUGUCUCGUCUGCUUGCAGAUGGGCAGCGGUAGAGCGUAC